rnacentral:rRNA from 1 species
GACAGAGGGUGCAAACGUUGUUCGGAAUUACUGGGCAUAAAGCGCACGUAGGUGGUCCACUAAGUCGAGUGUGAAAUCCCCCGGCUCAACCGGGGAAUGGCGCUCGAUACUGGUGGGCUAGAGGUCGGUAGGGGUGAGCGGAACUCCAGGUGGAGCGGUGAAAUGCGUAGAUAUCUGGAGGAACACCGGUGGCGAAAGCGGCUCACUGGACCGAAUCUGACACUGAGGUGCGAAAGCUAGGGUAGCAAACGGG